CCUACGGGAGGCAGCAGUGGGGGAUAUUGCACAAUGGGGGGAACCCUGAUGCAGCGACGCCGCGUGGGUGAAGAAGCGCCUCGGCGCGUAAAGCCCUGUCAGCAGGGAAGAAAAUGACGGUACCUGAAGAAGAAGCCCCGGCUAACUACGUGCCAGCAGCCGCGGUAAUACGUAGGGGGCAAGCGUUAUCCGGAUUUACUGGGUGUAAAGGGGGCGCAGACGGCGAUGCAAGCCAGGAGUGAAAGCCCGGGGCCCAACCCCGGGACUGCGCUUGGAACUGCGUGGCUGGGGUGCAGGAGGGGCAGGCGGAAUUCCUAGUGUAGCGGUGAAAUGCGUAGAUAUUAGGAGGAACACCAGUGGCGAAGGCGGCCUGCUGGACGAUGACUGACGUUGAGGCUCGAAAGCGUGGGGAGCAAACAGGAUUAGAUACCCUUGUAGUC
rnacentral:rRNA from 1 species